rnacentral:rRNA from 1 species
AAUGACAAUAAAUCUUGAAUCUUGAACCACCUUGUCUGAUCUCAGAAGCCAAGCAGGGUUGGGACUGGUUAGUACUUGGAUGGGAGGCAGCUGGGAAUACCAGUGAGGUGACAGUG